rnacentral:rRNA from 1 species
AAAUUGAAGAGUUUGAUCAUGGCUCAGAUUGAACGCUGGCGGCAGGCCUAACACAUGCAAGUCGAGCGGAAACGAGUUAUCAGAACCUUCGGGGGACGAUAACGGCGUCGAGCGGCGGACGGGUGAGUAAUGCCUAGGAAAUUGCCCUGAUGUGGGGGAUAACCAUUGGAAACGAUGGCUAAUACCGCAUGAUGCCUACGGGCCAAAGAGGGGGACCUUCGGGCCUCUCGCGUCAGGAUAUGCCUAGGUGGGAUUAGCUAGUUGGUGAGGUAAGGGCUCACCAAGGCGACGAUCCCUAGCUGGUCUGAGAGGAUGAUCAGCCACACUGGAACUGAGACACGGUCCAGACUCCUACGGGAGGCAGCAGUGGGGAAUAUUGCACAAUGGGCGCAAGCCUGAUGCAGCCAUGCCGCGUGUGUGAAGAAGGCCUUCGGGUUGUAAAGCACUUUCAGUCGUGAGGAAGGUAGUGUAGUUAAUAGCUGCAUUAUUUGACGUUAGCGACAGAAGAAGCACCGGCUAACUCCGUGCCAGCAGCCGCGGUAAUACGGAGGGUGCGAGCGUUAAUCGGAAUUACUGGGCGUAAAGCGCAUGCA